rnacentral:rRNA from 1 species
CGGUAGUUUGAUCAGUCGGCUACAGAACGAACGCUGGCGGCAUGCCUUACACAUGCAAGUCGAACGGCAGCACGGGAGCAAUCCUGGUGGCGAGUGGCGAACGGGUGAGUAAUAUAUCGGAACGUGCCCAGUCGUGGGGGAUAACGUAGCGAAAGCUACGCUAAUACCGCAUACGAUCUAUGGAUGAAAGCGGGGGGAUCGCAAGACCUCGCGCGAUUGGAGCGGCCGAUAUCAGAUUAGGUAGUUGGUGAGGUAAAGGCUCACCAAGCCGACGAUCUGUAGCUGGUCUGAGAGGACGACCAGCCACACUGGGACUGAGACACGGCCCAGACUCCUACGGGAGGCAGCAGUGGGGAAUAUUGGACAAUGGGGGAAACCCUGAUCCAGCAAUGCCGCGUGAGUGAUGAAGGCCUUCGGGUUGUAAAGCUCUUUUAUCAGGGACGAUAAUGACGGUACCUGAUGAAUAAGCACCGGCUAACUUCGUG